GAAGUGAAUGGACUGCUUUGAAUCUUCAAGGCAUUAAUUUUCCAAACGUUUGAAUUCCAUCCCUAGUCUGAGAGCUAGGGAUGCAGCCUAGCAAGGGAAACAGCAGCCUCAGCACCCCCUGGGAGCUUGAGACAUCUAAGGAGUUGACUGAGGCCCCUCCCUGACAUACUGAAGCGGAAUCUGCAUUUUAGCAAGAUCUGCAGGUUGUGCAAUCUACCACAUGGGGAUCAGCAGGAGGCUCUGCCCUCCCUUCACUCAGAUUAAUGGAGGUUCCACCAUCUGGUGGCUGCAGCCCUGAAACAUGAAGCCUUGUUGGUGUGACCAUGGCAGGGGAAGAAAGAGGCUGGGAGUUUGCACAGGGGCUUUUUACUGCCUCAGCCUGAAAGUGACAUGUGUCCUUUCUACUCUAGGAUCUCUGGUCAGAACUAGUCACGAGAUCUUCCCUAACUGCCAGGACACUGGGAAAUGAAAGGGAACAAUGGAAUCAUUGGUGAGCUUUACUGUCUCUGCUCCAGGGUGGCUCGUAGACUCAAAUGAAAACGCUGGAGGCUCAGAUCUGGGACUGAAUGUGGACCAGAGAACUUGGGAGACCUUGCCAGCAGCAGCUGAUGGAGGUCUGGUCAGGCUGUCAUCCAUUUUCAGCUAUCUGUCACCCUCUCAGGAUUUGCACCGGAGAAAGAGUGAGAGGAGAGAGAGAGAGAGAGAGAAAACAACUGAUUGGCCCGGGCAGGUUCUAUGUCCCACUUGAAACACAAGUUAAUGGACAACUUGAUUGACAGAGUUGCACUAAAAGGUAGUGGGGGGAGUUCAUCCAAACAAAACUGGGGUGCUGUUACAACAAGAGAGGGAGGGUAGGUGCAUAGUGAGCAAAAGCACACACUUGCUGCAGAGCUGGUCCAAAUACCCACUCCAGAGUUGACAUCAUCUGGAAGGUUUAUAGAAGUGGGGGCUUUCCAGAUUUGCUUUGGAGGAUGGGAUAACUGAUGCAGAGGAAAGGUAAUGCAGGCUGAGAGGCCCGUGUAAGCAAAGUGAAGCUGCAGAAAAGUGCAAUCAUUUGCAAGAAAGAGAAGGCUGGCCAGGUGCAGCAGCUCACACCUGUAGUCCCAGCACUGUGGGAGGCCGAGGCGGGAGGAUCCCUUGAGCCCAGGAGUUUGAGACCAGCUUGAGCAACACAGGGAGAUCCUAUAUCUACAAAAAAUGUAAAAAUUAGCCAGGCAUGGUGGUGCCUGCCUAUAGUCCUAGCUGCUCGGGAGGCUGACAUAGGAGGAUUACCUGAGCCUUGGGAGGCUGAGGCUGCAGUGAGUCAUGAUUUUGCCACCACACUCCAGCCUGGGCAACAGAGUGAAACCCUGUCUCAAAAAGAAAAAAAAAAAAAAUGAGAAGGCUUUUGAGACUGAACAGAGGAUAUGAUUUGCAGUUACAUUUUCACCCCAACUUACCCAGCUUAUCUUUCCUUCCCGUGAUGUCAACUCAGGGGACGCAAAUGGGUGGAGGCUGGUUGGAAUGGCUCAAACUACAUCAUGAGAUUGGAGCCUGGUCCUCCAUGUUGGCUGAGAGUCUCAGUUCUCCUCCACGUGGCCUCUCCUUGUGGUCAGCUUACAUUUCCUCAAAACGUGGCAGUCUCAGGGCAGUUGGGUUUCUUGUGCGCUGGCUCAGGGCUCCUGAGAGGAUAAAAUCAGAAUAUCUUGUUCUUCGUCAGGCUUGGGCGCAGACUAACACAGCAUCAUUAUCUUUUUAUUCUGUGAGUUAACAUAUUUCAGAGGACCAGUGCAGAUUCAGAGUGGAGAGGGCUGCAUAAGAACACGAACACUGGGAAGUGGCUUCAUUUGGGGCCAUCUUUGGAGACCAACUAUGAUGCAUGAUGUAACUGACCUGAAUUCCCAAGCUCCUACCCCCAGCUCCAGCAUAAGAUAGACUGCGGAAUGGCCCAUGAGGCCAAGCACCUAUUAGUAGACCAAGAAGCAUCAUCCAUCCGUGACCUAGGUUGGCAGCCAGCUAUCAUUCUCAUCUGAGUCUGGGAGUUCAGGAUUUCCAUCCUGACCCAGCUACUUUCUUUCAACAGUUACCCACUGUAAAUUUCCGAAUACUUUCAACUACUAAUCCCAGUGUACCCAAUUAAAAAUGGCUUUCCUAAUAAAGGCAUUUCCGAUCGAA